GCCGGGCUGCAGAGGGCGCCGUGGGCGCAGCCCCUGCUUGGCCGCGGCCUCGCCUCCCGCCGCGGGUCCGGCGUGCCCGGUCAUGGCGCUGCCGGUGCUGUCGAGCUCGGCCGUGAAGUUCCGGCGAGUCCUGGCACACUUCCCGCAGGAGCUCAGCCUGGCCUUCGCCUACGGCUCGGGGGUGUUCCGGCAGGCGGGGGCCGCGGCCGAGCACGGCGAGAACAAUAUGCUGGAUUUCGUAUUUGCUGUUGAUGAUUCUGUGACCUGGCAUAUGAUGAACUUGUUAAAGAACAGGAGUCAUUAUUCCUUCCUAAAAUUUUUUGGGCCAAAACAGAUAACUAGUAUGCAGAGCUACGGAGCAGGAAUUUACUACAACACUUUAGUGCCAUGUAAUGGUAGGAUGAUAAAAUAUGGUGUUAUUAGCACUGAUACCCUGAUUGAUGAUUUAUUUCACUGGAAAACCCUCUAUGUCGCUGGGCGCCUACAAAAGCCGGUGAAAAUACUGACACAGAAUGAGAAUAGCAAGCUGCAAGCUGCUCUUGUUAGCAACCUGAAGAGUGCAGUCACAGCAGCCUUUCUCAUGUUACCAGAAAGUUUCUCUGAAGAAGACCUCUAUAUGCAGAUUGCAGGACUCUCCUACUCUGGUGAUUUCAGAAUGAUAAUAGGAGAAGACAGAUCGAAAGUGCAGAACAUAGUGAAACCCAACAUUCCCCAUUUUCAGAAGCUGUACAGUACCAUAUUACAGGACUGCCCCCAAGUGGUAUAUAAGCACCAUCUGGGAAGGCUAGAGAUUGAUAAAAGUCCAGAAGGUCAAUUUACACAACUAAUGGCUUUGCCAAAGACUCUGCAGCAAAAGAUAACUUCUCUGGUAAACCCUCCUGGAAAAAACAGAGAUGUGGAAGAAAUUUUACUGCAAGUUGCCCAUGACCCUGACUGUGGAUUUGUGGUGCAUCAAGGCAUUUCAGGAAUUGUGAGAUCUUCCAGUAUAGUGCAGAGUGCUAAAACCAUACUGACAGCUGGCAUGGCCAACUAAGUAACCUGCAUGGCUAAUGAGCAGCCUGGAAUCCUCCAAACAGUCCUGCUUAGGUGUCCUGCUUGCACAGUGGAAUCUGGCAGGUUGCUGGUGUCCAUUACCAGCCAGAGUGGAAUCCUACUAAGCUGGACAUACCUUGCAGUAGAUGAGAAAGGGCUUGAAAAAGCACAGUGUAUUAGUUUGGUGAGGAUCUGCAGUACACACAGGGGCAAAGAAAUCUGUAACUUACAGUAUGAAGAAAUUAUAUAAAAUGACAAAGGGAUGGUUAAGGAAGACAUCUUGAGUCUUGACGUAGUAUGUAUGGGUAAAUAAAUGGUACUUUUUAUUUAAAUAUUUUGCAGAUGCCACUUUGCAUACUUGAGAAGAUUACAAUGCAUUUAAGAAGUCCAUUCUAAUGAUUUACAUGCCCAAUUUUAUGAAUGAAAUAGGAACUUUUUAAUGGGAGAAAGUUUGCUGGUAAUAGGGCAAAGGAAUUCUACUCUGUAAAUACUGAACUGUAUUUUCUUCUGUACUAGAGCUUGGAUUUUCAGAAACCCCUAGUAAAAAGAAUUGAUUGUACAUAUGAAUGAAAACCCAAAGCCACUAAUUUUCUAUGUAUUGCUAGCUUUAUUUUCCAAAAUACCCUCAGGCUCUUUCAAAAUAAUCAAGUUCUUUCAGGGACUUAUGGAACUGGAGAGCCCACUGAAUUUUGUGUAGAUAAGAAACUGUCCUUUCACAUUUCUGCAUUGACAAGUUCAUCCUUAGAAUUCUUCUGAGGAUCCUCACUGGAUGCUUCUGCACGGCAGACCUUAUGGAAAGGACAUUUCUUCCCACAUGUGACAUUCUGAAUCCAAAAAACUUCCACGGUGACUUUCAGUGUGGGAAAGAGAAAUGAGCAGCUUGUCGGGUGUCAGGUUUCAAUCCUUUCAUAAAAAUCCUUUUAUGAGCCUGAGAUGAAAACUGCCCAACUCAUGGCUCAGCCUUGUCAGAAGAGCCAGAGUUGGAGGGAAAAUCGUAAUUCCAUGGACCUGCUUGUGCAGACUUAUGAAAUAUGUGUUGUUUGGCAAAAGAUUCUGUCAAAGCACUUUGAAGUUGGGAAUAUUAUGAACAAAAGCACAUAUUGUUUGAUUCCUUGAUUUUAUUUUUUUUUCCCCUGAAAAUACUGUCCACAAAGGUGAAACUUGUUUUCCCUUUAAAAAUUAGCUAAACUAAAGAAAAUUGGAGUUUUACAUAACGUGUCAAUCGUGCCAUUAAAGAUUGGACAUUUCUGGCAGUUUUCAUGUGUGGUGCAAUAAAUUUGGAGGAUCUUUUGUAAACAGAAUAUUUUUCACACUCAGGUGGGUUUCCUACUGUGGGAAGUUUAUCUUAUUAGAAAUAAAUUGAGACAAGAUUUAAUUUUGUUUGUGAAAAUGUCAAUGAUAAAAAUAAUUUAAUGGUAAAAAAUGGAAAUAAAAUGUAUCUUUCCUGAUUAGCAUGUAUUUUUUUUUUCUUGUGUAUUAUCUGAUCAGUAGGGUUAUCUCAAGCUACAUUCAAUUUAGUGAUCUCACUUUAAAUUAUUGGAAUGAAGUUAUCUGCUAAUUAUUUCCAGGGAGCAGUUCAAAGCAUGAAUUUAAGAAAGACAACAGAAAAUAUACUAUUGUAUGUAAUACGACUCAUGCAGGCUUACUUUAAUCAUAGGACAACUUUAAAAUAUUGAUUAUUUUUAAAUAUUUGAGUUUGAAAUUUUAAACCAGAGUCAGGAAAUAAAUGUGUCCCCUUUUUAAAAUUAUUAUCUUGAAAAAUAUUAUUCCUGUGAAAUCGUAAAGAAAUUACUGUGAAAUUUUCUAAGGCCAUAGGUAGAUUCCUAAAACUUUGCAUUACCCAUUGGUGAUAGAUCCAGAAUGUGUGAGCCAAAUCCCCUCAAAUGUCCCUUUGCUGAUAUUAGAAGGCUCAUGACCCUUUUUAUGGUGAUGAAGAAUGCUUGUAUGUGUGGUAUUAGCAUUCCCUGUCCCCCCUUACUAAUGGAAGAGGCCAAAUUCCCCAACUUGAAAAGUUUACCAUAUAAGAAAUGUAACCAGGGGCUUUAAGCCACUGCUUAAAUAAACUUAACUUGGGUUUUGGCUGGAUUUUUUUGUUUGCACAAAGAGGUUCCUUUGUAGAUAAUCUAGAAGUCUUUUAUACAUAAUACAUCCUAUCCACCUUAAUAUUAACCUCAUAUGAGUUAAUUAAGUGAGGGCUUACAGUAGCCAUACCAUUUUUAACGUUUCAGCAUAAGCUCCAGUGAAAGAAAUCUGAAAUCAGAUGUUGACUUGCUUAGGUGUGCUCGGUGGGAAGCUCUUAAGAACAGAAAACACUGAUCCCAGUGCUAGAAACAGACCCAAAGAUACAAAGCUUUUGGACAAAUGAACAGCCUGAGAAAAGAUUCAGGAUGGAGCCAUGGUCUUCUGAAUGAAAGAGUUACCAGGUAAGAAGUGAGAACUGCCUGGUUUAGUCAUCUAACGAGGUGACAGCUUUGAUUAGUUGGUCCCAAAUGAAAUGCUCUGUAGGAAAACACUUGGGCACAUGUGCAGCAGCAUAGACAGAACACUGAUUUUUUAUCUGGUGUUAGAAAAUUUUUAGUAGGGUCCAGGGUAGUAUCUGGGGAGGGAAGGAGGGAGGGAAGUCCUCAUCUGUGAAAGUCUUAGGAUACAAAAAAAUUGGAAAACUGAAAUUGUCAGCACAUAAAUUAUCCUUGUAGGAAACGGGGCAAUUUCAAACAUAUCCCUCUGCAUAAGUAGUUAGCAAAAGUAUUUAUCGUAUUUAUCUUUCGUAAUUUGUUCUUUUUCUUUGAGGCCUGUGUGGGAAGGGGUCUAAGAGAGCCUUCGCUCCUUCCAAAGAAGAGGACACCAACCACUGGUGAGGAUUUGUCCUCGACAAAUUCAGAGAGAUCAUUCCUAGCGAACCUGUAUUUUUCUGUGUGAAUUCUGUUCCUCUAGUCAACUUUU